GAUGAAGAACGCAGCGAAAUGCGAUACUUGGUGUGAAUUGCAGAAUCCCGCGAAUCAUCGAGUUUUUGAACGCAAGUUGCGCCCGAAGCCAUUCGGCCGAGGGCACGUCUGCCUGGGUGUCACGCAUCGUUGCCCCCCCAAACUCCGGUUCGGGCGGGGCGGAAGUUGGCCUCCCGUGCGUGCCUGCGCGCGCGGUUAGCCCAAAAGCGAGUCCUCGGCGAUGAGCGCCACGACAAUCGGUGGUUUUUUUACCCUCGUUCCUCGUCGUGCGUGCCCCGUCGCCCGAACGCGCUCUUGCAACCCUUACGCGUCGCCUCGGUGGCGCUCCCAACGCGACCUCAGGUCAGGCGGGACUACCCGCUGAGUUUAAGCAUAUCAAUAAGCGGAGGA
rnacentral:misc_RNA from 1 species